rnacentral:sRNA from 1 species
CCGGACGCCAAUACCGGGUCCGGCUGGACACAGAGGGUGCCGGCUCUCCGUUUCCGGCGCUUCUCAUGCCCAAGUUGCUUCACCAGGAGGAUUUGGAGAUGAGAA